rnacentral:rRNA from 1 species
AGUGAACGCUGGCGGUAGGCCUAACACAUGCAAGUCGAACGGCAGCACAGGAGAGCUUGCUCUCUGCGUGGCGAGUGGCGGACGGGUGAGGAAUGCAUCGGAAUCUACUCUGUCGUGGGGGAUAACGUAGGGAAACUUACGCUAAUACCGCAUACGACCUACGGGUGAAAGCAGGGGACCUUCGGGCCUUGCGCGAUUGAAUGAGCCGAUGUCGGAUUAGCUAGUUGGCGGGGUAAAGGCCCACCAAGGCGACGAUCGGUAGCUGGUCUGAGAGGAUGAUCAGCCACACUGGAACUGAGACACGGUCCAGACUCCUACGGGAGUCAGCAGUGGGGAAUAUUGGACAAUGGGCGCAAGCCUGAUCCAGCCAUACCGCGUGGGUGAAGAAGGCCUUCGGGUUGUAAAGCCCUUUUGUUGGGAAAGAAAUCCAGCUGGCUAAUACCCGGUUGGGAUGACGGUACCCAAAGAAUAAGCACCGGCUAACUUCGUGCCAGCCGCCGCCGUAA